rnacentral:tRNA from 1 species
UCCCGGGUAUCUCAAAGGGUAAAGAAUCUGCCUGCAAUGCCGGAGACCUGGGUUCGAUCCCUGGGUUGGGAA